rnacentral:rRNA from 1 species
UACAGAGGGUGCAAACGUUGCUCGGAGUUACUGGGCGUAAAGCGCGUGUAGGCGGUGCCGCACGUCCGGUGUGAAAGCCCAGGGCUCAACCCUGGAAGUGCACUGGAAACGACGGCGCUGGAGUCCUGAAGAGGAGGGCGGAAUUCCCGGUGUAGAGGUGAAAUUCGUAGAUAUCGGGAGGAACACCAGUGGCGAAGGCGGCUCACUGGACCACAACUGACGCUGAGACGCGAAAGCGUGGGGAGCAAACAGGG